rnacentral:rRNA from 1 species
UGCGUAGGCGGAAUGAUAAGUUAGUGGUGAAAGCCCCCGGCUCAACCGGGGAACUGCCAUUAAUACUGUCAUUCUUGAGUAUAGUUGAAGUGGGCGGAAUGUAUCAUGUAGCGGUGAAAUGCUUAGAUAUGAUACAGAACACCGAUAGCGUAGGCAGCUUGCUGAACUAUAACUGACGCUCAGGCACGAAAGCGUGGGGAGCAAACAGGAUUAGAUACCCUGGUAGUC